CCAAUGGAAAAUUCAUUCACAUCGAGAUGAAGGUGUCCGUACUGACAUUUCUGUUCGUACUGAUCCUUGUAUUUACGGGAUCGACUAAUGGAGCGUCGGUACAUAAGGACUGUCAUGGAAGAGGACAUGGACGUCAAAGAGGUCCGGGGGGUUCUGGAAACUCAGGAGGCUCGGGAGGUUCAGGAGGCGCUGGAGGCUCUGGAAACCCUGGAGGUUCUGAACCUCCGCCAACUACAACGAUGUAGACGGCAAUAAUCGCGCUUUUGUGCUUCUGUGAGCAAUAACUACGCCAUGUGAUUUAUGCACUUUUGUCAUUUAAAAAUC